UACGGAGGGGGCUAGCGUUGUUCGGAAAUACUGGGCGUAAAGCGCACGUAGGCGGCCUGGCAAGUCAGGGGUGAAAUCCCGGAGCUCAACUCCGGAACUGCCCUUGAAACUGCCUCGCUGGAAUCUUGGAGAGGUCAGUGGAAUUCCGAGUGUAGAGGUGAAAUUCGUAGAUAUUCGGAAGAACACCAGUGGCGAAGGCGACUGACUGGACAAGUAUUGACGCUGAGGUGCGAAAGCGUGGGGAGCAAAC
rnacentral:rRNA from 1 species